GAGAGCAUAGUGCAAUGAAAGUUGUAAGCUGUGUUCAGGAGGGAGUUAUUGUCUAUCAUUGAUCUCUAU
rnacentral:ncRNA from 1 species